UGGUGAGGUAACGGCUCACCACGGCGACAAUGCGUAGCCGACCUGAGAGGGUGAUCGGCCACAUUGGGACUGAGACACGGCCCAGACUCCUACCGGAGGCAGCAGUGGGGAAUAUUGCACAAUGGGGGAAACCCUGAUGCAGCAACUCCGCGUGAGUGAUGAAGGUCUUCGGAUCGUAAAGCUCUGUCUUCAGGGACGAUAAUGACGGUACCUGAGGAGGAAGCCACGGCUAACUCCGUGCCAGCAGCCGCGGUAAUACGUAGGUGGCGAGCGUUGUCCGGAUUUACUGGGCGUAAAGGGAGCGUAGGCGGAUUUUUAAGUGAGAUGUGAAAUACCCGGGCUCAACUUGGGCGCUGCAUUUCAAACUGGAAGUCUAGAGUGCAGGAGAGGAGAGUGGAAUUCCUAGUGUAGCGGUGAAAUGCGUAGAGAUUAGGAAGAACACCAGUGGCGAAGGCGACUCUCUGGACUGUAACUGACGCUCAGGCUCGAAAGCGUGGGGAGCAAACAGGAUUAGAUACCCUGGUAGUCCACGCCGUAAACGAUCCUAGCAAGGAGGUGGUGCCCUCGAGGCCUGGCUUCCGGAGCUAACGAGUUAAGUCUACGGCUUGGGAAGUACGUCGGCAAGGUUAAAAUUCAAAUGAAUUGACGGGGGCCGGCACAAGAGGUGGAGCAUGUGGUUUAAUUGGAUGCAACGGGAAGACCCUUACUUACUCUUGACAUCCAGAGAACUUUGCAGAGAUGCUUUGUUGCCUUCGGGAAAUGUGAGACAGGUGCUGCAUGGCUGUGGUCAGCUCGUUUUGUGAAAUGUUGGGUUAAGUCCCGCAACGAGCGCAACCCUUAUCCUUUGUUGCCAGCGGUUCGGCCGCGAACUCAAAGGAGACUGCCAGUGAUAAACUGGAGGAAGGUGGGGAUGACGUCAAGUCUAUCAUGGCCCUUACGAGUAGGGCUACACACGUGUUACAAUGGCAUAUACAAAGAGAAGAGACCUCGAGAGAGCAAGCGGACCUCAUAAAGUAUGUAGUAGUCCGGAUUGGAGUAUGCUACUCGACUCCAAGAAGUAGGAAUUGGUAGUAAUGGUGGAUCAGAAUGCCAUGGUGAAUAUGUUCCCCGGCGUUGUACACACCGCCCGUCACACCAUGGGAGUGGG
rnacentral:rRNA from 1 species